UGGGGAAUUUUGGACAAUGGGGGCAACCCUGAUCCAGCAAUGCCGCGUGUGUGAAGAAGGCCUUCGGGUUGUAAAGCACUUUUGUCCGGAAAGAAAUCCUCUGGGUUAAUACCCCGGGGGGAUGACGGUACCGGAAGAAUAAGCACCGGCUAACUACGUGCCAGCAGCCGCGGUAAUACGUAGGGUGCGAGCGUUAAUCGGAAUUACUGGGCGUAAAGGGCGCGUAGGCGGCCUUCUAAGUCAGACGUGAAAUCCCCCGGCUUAACCUGGGAACUGCGUCUGAUACUGGGAGGCUUGAGUAUGGGAGAGGGAUGUAGAAUUCCAGGUGUAGCGGUGAAAUGCGUAGAUAUCUGGAGGAAUACCGGUGGCGAAGGCGGCAUCCUGGACCAUAACUGACGCUGAGGCGCGAAAGCUAGGGGAGCAAAC
rnacentral:rRNA from 1 species